rnacentral:rRNA from 1 species
GAACGCUGAUGGCGUGCCUCAUACAUGCAAGUCGAGCGAGAACCCGGUGCUUGCACCGGUGGAGAGCGGCGAACGGGUGAGUAUAACGUAAAUAAUCUGCCCUUAAGUUGGGGAUAACCAUCCUAACGGAUGGCUAAUACCGAAUAGUGUUAGAGAUUCGCAUGUUUUUCUAACGAAAGGCUUCGGCCGCUUUUGGAUGAGUUUGCGUCCCAUUAGCUUGUUGGCGGGGUAAAGGCCCACCAAGGCAACGAUGGGUAGCCGGCCUGAGAGGGUGAACGGCCACAUUGGGACUGAGAUACGGCCCAGACUCCUACGGGAGGCAGCAGUAGGGAAUUUUGCGCAAUGGACGAAAGUCUGACGCAGCAACGCCAUGUGAAGGAUGAAGCAUUUAGGUG